GAUGAACGCUGGCGGCGUGCCUAAUACAUGCAAGUCGAGCGAACGGACGAGAAGCUUGCUUCUCUGAUGUUAGCGGCGGACGGGUGAGUAACACGUGGAUAACUUACCUAUAAGACUGGGAUAACUUCGGGAAACCGGAGCUAACACCGGAUAAUAUUGUGAACCGCAUGGUUCAAAAGGGAAAGACGGUCUUGCUGACACUUAUAGAUGGAUCCGCGCUGCAUUAGCUAGUUGGUAAGGUAACGGCUUACCAAGGCAACGAUGCAUAGCCGACCUGAGAGGAUGAUCGGCCACACUGGCACUGAGACACGGUCCAGACUCCUACGGGAGGCAGCAGUGGGGAAUCUUCCACAAUGGGCGCAAGCCUGACGGAGCAACGCCGCGUGAGUGAUGAAGGUCUUCGGAUCGUAAAGCUCUGUUAUUAGGGAAGAACAUAUGUGUACGUAACUGUGCACAUCUUGACGGUACCUAAUCAAAAAGCCACGGCUAACUACGUG
rnacentral:rRNA from 1 species